rnacentral:rRNA from 1 species
UACGAAGGGGGCAAGCGUUAUUCGGAUUUAUUGGGCGUAAAGGGCGUGUAGGCGGCUCCGCAAGUCUGGUGUGAAAACGCCGCCGCUCAACGGGGCGAGCGCGCUGGAUACUGCGGAACUUGAGUUCGGAAGAGGCUAGCAGAAUGCCUGGUGUAGCGGUGGAAUGCUUAGAGAUCAGGCAGAAUACCUGAGGCGAAGGCGGCUAGCUGGUCCGAUACUGACGCUGAGGCGCGAAAGCGUGGGGAUCAAACGGG